rnacentral:sRNA from 1 species
GAUAAAGGAUAAACGGCUAAGGACGCGCCGUCCUAGAGGCGGGCUCAAAGCACAAUGUCCUGUUGCUUCGCCCGCACUAGUCAUUUCUUGUCCGUUGCAACGCUGUUCUGACCAACAUCCUAUUGG